rnacentral:lncRNA from 1 species
GAAAUGUGAAGCUUCUCUCUCCGAUUUCGCUGCUGCUCCUCUCUCUUUCAUAAGGAUCAAAUAUGGGUCCAUUCCAUGAAAUCAAUUCUAGCGCUCAAUCGUCUACUGGUAAUUUUUAUAAUCAAUUUUCUAACUUUAUUAGCAAAUUACAUCUUGGAAUUGAAAUUGAGAUUUGAGAAAUUCAUGAGUUAUGUGCUGUUAUGGAUUGUGGUGUGUAAAACAGGGAUUGAAACUUGCUCCCUCUGAUACAUGAAAUCAUGAAAUUAGAAGCUGGGUUCGAUGAAGUUGAUUGGCUUUGGAUUCCCAGACAUCUAAAUCACGGUGCCCAUGUAGCGGCAGGGAUUGAUUUGAGGACGGUGGAGCUGCAAAAGUUGAGCUGGGGUGGGGAACAUGUUGUUGGGCUUGUGUUUUCGGCUUUAGCUUGAUUCCUUCCUAGUGUUUUUUUUUUCCUUUCUAUUUUUUUCUUUUCCUUCUACACUCGUUGGUUGUUUUUCUCCCACCGCAUUUUUUAGGCUUUCUUGAUCUCAACCAAAAAUAAAAGGCGAUAUUUAUAGAUGCGAUGAAAUGCAAAGAUGGAGAAAGCUUCAAAGUAUUUUGAUAUGUGAUUUUGGAAUGCAAUUACCAAAAUAUAGUUAGCUAUAACUAUUGUUUUAUUUGGCUUGUAUAUUUUCAUGUUUACAGGACUUCCCAACACAUUGAACAUGAAACUUCACUGCAAUCAAUGGUACCAUGCAUAUGAAGAGUCCUAAUUUACAUGACUUCUAUAUCUUCUACAUGGGAAAGGGACUUACUCUUCUUCUUGUGCUUCUUAAUUUCAAAUUGGUUUUGAUUAUGUUUUUUAGUUA